ACUGCCCUGGAGGCAUUGCAGGUGUGGUUCUGUGUCACACUUGUGUCAGUAGGUGGCAGAAGUAAUGUUAUAUCUAAGCACAGUGUUUUGACCCAUGAACAUUUGCACAAUUAGUAGCCUGACACU
rnacentral:snoRNA from 1 species